rnacentral:rRNA from 1 species
ACGUAGGGCGCAAGCGUUGUCCGGAAUCAUUGGGCGUAAAGAGCUCGUAGGCGGUCUGUCACGUCGGAUGUGAAAACUCGGGGCUUAACCCCGAGCCUGCAUUCGAUACGGGCAGACUAGAGUUCGGUAGGGGAGACUGGAAUUCCUGGUGUAGCGGUGGAAUGCGCAGAUAUCAGGAGGAACACCGGUGGCGAAGGCGGGUCUCUGGGCCGAUACUGACGCUGAGGAGCGAAAGCGUGGGGAGCGAACAGG